rnacentral:lncRNA from 10 species
AUCACUUCUAAGAUAAAUGAAAUCUUCAUGGAAACAGCAGGCAAAAACAUUGGCUGAUUAUUUCUCUCGUAUGAAAUGCUAAACUAUGAAAUUCAAAUAUAUUUGGAAAAUUCAAUCAUAUAUUUAUUUCUUAAUAACAACUAAUGAACUUAUAGAGAAACUCAUGUAAAAAUUCAAUAGCAUUUGAAAGGUAAAUAAACAGCACUAAUGAGCUUUAUUAUAAUACUUUCCCACUUAUGAUGUAUGUUUGUGACUAACAUCUGUUGGAUAGUAUUUGAGAUUAGGAAAACUUAUUUUAUUAAAAAACAGGAAAAUUUUACUUAAUAAGUUAACAUGGAUGGGAAAUCUAUUUGUAAGAAGUUCCAUUUGUGAAAAGGUAUAAAUAUGUGGUCACACAUAGUUAUAUUUUGUUGAUAGAAAUAGAUUUUAUUAGAUCAAUAGAAUCAGGCAACAAUGACGUGGUCAGCAAGACAUUCUGAGAAGUAGCCAUGAUGAAGAGAAAGAAGUCAUCAAGUUUUUCAUCCUUACAACCACAAAAGAGAGAAGAAUGGGGUUCAGUUGGGACAACAACAGAGGUCAUAUAGAAAUGGCUGGGUUGGGGAUCAAAGGACACGGUCAGCCUAUGAACUCAGGAAUUCCUUGGGUAGAUCUCUAUCUGUGGUUUGUCCUGAGGGCACCAUCAUGGCCAAUAUAAGUAAACCAGGUGUUUGUGGAUCCAUGUUGUCUCACCCGUCCUGUGUGUAAGUAUCACUCACUGGCAUGGAAUACAGGAGGGCUAUUCUUUACAGGGCUUUCGUGGGUUGGUUUCCAAUGGGAAUCACUGUGAUAGUCACUACCCAGUGGUUCUCCUUGCUCCUUAUUUCUGCUAAAAGGGGAUGUGUUCUCUCAGAGAAGUCAGCAACUGACUAAACCAAGUGACCACAGUCUGGGGUAGGCUCACAAAGGCCCAGUUCUGAUGAAUGCCCCCAUAAAUAAAAGGGUUACACUUUUUGCUGGCAUAAUUCCAAGAACUUGUGCUUUAUGGCUUCCUCUUAAACUAGUCAAAAGAAGCUGUUCCAUGCUUUAAUACCUAUGUACUAAGCUGGUUUCCCAGCCACUGUUUUGCUUUUGUUUUUUCCCAGAAAACUCGGAGGCCCCAGAGUAUAUGUAACAGAUUCAGUGCAUCCUUGGAAGACCUUUUCUACCUUCCCGAUUGUGACUUUUUUUCAUAGCUUCUCUGCAGUGCUUACCAUACAACCAAAUUAGUUCACUGAAUUGAGUAUGCUCUGUGUGAGAUGUGAGCAAAACAAAAGCUGCUGGGAACACAAUGACACCGGGACAAUCUUGAAGCCACAUGAUCUCAGAGGCACAUGUGGAAGCAGCCUGGAUCCUGAGCCAUUAUUUGGAGGAAUGUCACCCAAAUGGAGUCACCUGGCCAGGGACAUCAGCUUUGGAUUUUGUGUAAAUGAAAAAUAAAUGUCUAUUUGGUUAAGCCAGAUUGUUUUACCUGCCUUGUGCACACGUUUGUGCUUGUGGGUGUGUGCAUGCCUAUGUGUGGGUGUGUGCAUGUGGCUUAUGCCACAACAUAUAUUUCUUAAUGCAGAUUUUAGUCAAAAACAUGUGAAAGCAAG